GCCUACGGGGGGCAGCAGUAGGGAAUCUUCCACAAUGGGCGAAAGCCUGAUGGAGCAACGCCGCGUGGGUGAAGAAGGUCUUCGGAUCGUAAAACCCUGUUGUUAGAGAAGAAAGUGCGUGAGAGUAACUGUUCACGUUUCGACGGUAUCUAACCAGAGAGCCACGGCUAACUACGUGCCAGCAGCCGCGGUAAUACGUAGGUGGCAAGCGUUAUCCGGAUUUAUUGGGCGUAAAGGGAACGCAGGCGGUCUUUUAAGUCUGAUGUGAAAGCCUUCGGCUUAACCGGAGUAGUGCAUUGGAAACU
rnacentral:rRNA from 1 species